UUUGUUUUUAAUUACUAAUUAAUCAAACACUAAACAAAAAUAUAAAAAAAAAAUAUAGUAUGUUGAGCAUCUAUCUAUAAAUAAAAAAGUACUAAGAAAAAUGCAAAAAAAAUAAAAAAUAAAAUAAAAAGAUAAAUCCUUACAUUAAGAUGGCUUAAACAUAGUAAUAACAAUUGUAUCUGAAAAUAAAAUACUAGUACAUUAAUAAAUAUUGCCAAAGGUUCGUGGUUGCCCUAAUGUUAUAUAGAACAAUUAAACCAUCAUGAUGACUUAACCUUGAAAGAAGAUUAAUCCAAUCCCUCCAUUAUUAUUUCACAGCAGCUGCUUCCUUCCACCAUCAUCAUUAUUGCUAGAGAAAACUAGCAAUAAACUCCAUUGAAAUAGCAGAAGAAAGCUAAGCCAAAGCUGAGGGAGGGAAUUUGAUAUAUAAAUGGAAGAGAAAAUUUUC
rnacentral:lncRNA from 1 species